rnacentral:lncRNA from 1 species
CUCUCCAAAGAAACCGGAAGAUCCCUCAUCCAGCGGCAUUUUGAAAUUCCCCCACCGCAGAAAAUAUUCUCUGCGAGGAAGAGGAAGAGGAGGAGGGGAGGCAAAACGCUUCAAGGGAGCCGCUUGCACCCUAAGCCCCGAUCGCGGGAGAGAAGGAGGGAGGGAAGGAAGCAAGGCGGGCUCGAACAACUUCCUACUCGGCUGCCAGCAUCAAACGCUGAAAACCAACCCUUUAACUGCCGCCAACGUGGAGCUGAAUUUCUGUCCUCUGGAAACGGCAGCGUGGAGGAAGCGAUGAAUGGUCAGAAAGGGGCGGUGGCUGACUCUUUGCCCUCCCCAGGCGGUUGCCGUGCCGGGGUUUCUGCCUGUUAGUUCGCGUCUCGUCCCUGACUUCUUCCCAGCGGCCGCGGGGGUGGAAAAGAAAAGGCUGCGGAGGGCUCCUCGGAGAAGGGAGCGAGGCGUGAGCAGCGCGGUUCCUCCGCUUCCCUCCUCCGGGGCUGUCUUUCUUUCUUUCUUUCUUUCUUUUUGGCGGGCGGGUUAGGAGACUUUCUGCCAUGACUACAUAGAGCGGCGCUGAGUGAGCGCGCAUUCCCGAGCUGCCGCCGCCGCCACCGCCACCAGGCACCAUGAGGGGACAGGCGCAGGUUUUUUUCCUGGUUCUGCUGUGCCUCGGCAAGGUAAAACUCACUGCUGCAUGUGAUUCCGAAUGCAGUUCCUUAAACAACCUAACAGUAACAGACAGAACAAUAUGGAUCCAGUUAAAUAACAACUUUACAAUAACAAAUGUAACUUUUCAAAAUAAAUCAAAGGUGGAUCUUUCCGAGAAUAAUUCACUAUCUAACCUUUAUCCUGGUAUUCAGUAUAUUGUUCAUUUCAAUAAUCCUAAUGAAAGUUGCUGCAAAUAUAUUUUUACAAGUAAGUAAUGGAUUAGAAAUUCCACAAAAUUAGUUUUCAAGAUCAUUCUGAUAGGAUUGUCAUUGUUAAAUUUUAAGAUGAGAUAAAAAAUGUAUAGUGGGUGAUGGAAGUAAAAUCCAUCUAGUUCAGUUCCAAAGCUGGGAGAAAGAGGCUGAAAAUAACACAGAGGCUGGAAAGAAAGAUUCUGUGAACAGAACCACCAGGGUUUGUGGUUCUGGGGCAGCUGACCCAGAAUCGCAUACUAUCAGACUUCCUUUGGCUAUCUACGCAAAAUUAAGACUUGCAAAGAUACCAAAUGUUUGAUAAGUAGAUAUAUUGUAGCAAAGUUCAUGAAGCCAU